rnacentral:rRNA from 3 species
GGUUACGUUCAUACAACACUCAAUGUACCGUAUCUCAUUCCGAAUUGCGAAGUCAACAAGUGUUUGGCCUUCUUAGUACUGGCGUGGGGGACCAGCUGGGAACCGGAUGGUGACGUAACCU